AUGGCGACGGGGCACGCCUUCCGGCGCCUGGCGCGGCGGAUGCUGAGCAACGUGCCGGAGUCGACCGUCUACGGGGGCCCGCGGCCGCAGGAGGCGGCGGCGGCGCGGCGCGUGACGGUGACGACCCUCCGCGGGAAGCACCGCCGGGGGGAGCCCAUCACCGUCGUCACCGCCUACGACUACCCGUCCGCCGUCCACGUCGACUCCGCGGGGAUCGACGUCUGCCUCGUCGGCGACUCCGCCGCCAUGGUCGUCCACGGCCACGACACCACCCUCCCCAUCUCCCUCGACGUCAUGCUCGAGCACUGCCGCGCCGUGGCGCGAGGCGCCUCGCGCCCGCUCCUCGUAGGCGACCUCUCCUUCGGUUGCUACGAGUCCUCUUCCACGCAGGCUGUUGACUCUGCGGUGAGGGUGUUAAAAGAAGGUGGAAUGGAUGCAAUCAAAUUGGAAGGAGGAGCUCCAUCUAGGAUCAGUGCAGCUAAGGCUAUUGUGGAGGCUGGAAUUGCUGUCAUGGGUCAUGUUGGGCUUACGCCGCAGGCUAUUAGUGUACUUGGUGGGUUUCGACCACAGGGGAAGACAGUUGAUAGUGCUAUAAAGGUUGUAGAGACAGCAAUCGCAUUGCAAGAGGCUGGUUGCUUCUCGGUUGUGUUGGAGUGUGUGCCAGCUCCGGUGGCAGCAGCUGCAACAUCAGCAUUGAAAAUCCCAACCAUUGGCAUCGGUGCUGGGCCAUUCUGCAGUGGGCAGGUCUUGGUGUACCAUGACUUGUUAGGGAUGAUGCAGCAUCCACACCAUGCCAAGGUGACACCAAAAUUCUGCAAGCAAUUCGGCAACGUCGGCAGUGUCAUUAACAAGGCGCUAUCAGACUACAAGCAAGAGGUGGAGACACGGUCUUUCCCUGGCCCCAGUCACACGCCCUAUAAAAUCACCGCCACAGAUGUCGAUGGCUUUGCGAAUGCGCUGCAGAAGAUGGGUUUGGGUGAGGCUGCGGACGCUGCGGCUGCCGCUGCUGAGAACUCGGAAAAUGAUGGAAAGCCAAGCGAAAACAGUUGA
rnacentral:rRNA from 1 species